UACGUAGGGUGCGAGCGUUUGUCCGGAAUUAUUGGGGCGUAAAGAGCUUGUAGGCGGUUUGUCGCGUCUGCUGUGAAAAUCCGGGGCUCAACCCCGGACUUGCAGUGGGUACGGGCAGACUAGAGUGGUGGUAGGGGAGACUGGAAUUCCUGGGUGUAGCGGUGAAAUGCGCAGAUAUCAGGAGGAACACCGAUGGCGAAGGCGGACUACCUGGCCUGUUCUUGACGCUGAGGCGCGAAAGCUAGGGGAGCAAACGGG
rnacentral:rRNA from 1 species